UAUUGGUCAAUGGGCGUAAGCCUGAACCAGCCAAGUCGCGUGAGGGAGGACGGCCCUACGGGUUGUAAACCUCUUUUGCCGGGGGACAAACGGCGGCACGCGUGCCGUCCUGGGGGUACCCGGAGAAAAAGCAUCGGCUAACUCCGUGCCAGCAGCCGCGGUAAUACGGAGGAUGCGAGCGUUAUCCGGAUUUAUUGGGUUUAAAGGGUGCGUAGGCGGGCUUUUAAGUCAGCGGUAAAAAUUCGGGGCUCAACCCCGUCCGGGCGUUGAAACUGGGGGCCUUGAGUGGGCGAGAAGAAGGCGGAAUGCGUGGUGUAGCGGUGAAAUGCAUAGAUAUCACGCAGAACCCCGAUUGCGAAGGCAGCCUUCCGGCGCCCUACUGACGCUGAGGCACGAAAGUGCGGGGAUCGAACAGG
rnacentral:rRNA from 1 species